rnacentral:rRNA from 1 species
AGAGUUUGAUCAUAGCUCAGGAUGAACGCUGGCGGCGUGCUUAACACAUGCAAGUCGAACGGAGUAAUAUGAAGCCCUCGGGCGGAUUAUUACUUAGUGGCGGACGGGUGAGUAACGCGUGGGUAACCUACCUCAUACAGGGGGAUAACAGUUGGAAACGACUGCUAAAACCGCAUAACAAGUUGAGACCGCAUGAUCUUAACUUCAAAUAUUUAUAGGUAUGAGAUGGGCCCGCGUCUGAUUAGCUAGUUGGUGGGGUAAUGGCCUACCAAGGCAACGAUCAGUAGCCGGCUUGAGAGAGUGACCGGCCACAUUGGGACUGAGACACGGCCCAAACUCCUACGGGAGGCAGCAGUGGGGAAUAUUGGACAAUGGGGGCAACCCUGAUCCAAGCGACGCCGCGUGAGUGAAGAAGUAUUUCGGUAUGUAAAGCUCUAUCAGCAGGGAAGAUAAUGACAGUACCUGACUAAGAAGCCCCGGCUAACUACGUGCCAGCAGCCGC